rnacentral:rRNA from 1 species
AUGAACGCUGGCGGCGUGCCUAAUACAUGCAAGUCGAGCGAACAGAUGAGGAGCUUGCUCCUCUGACGUUAGCGGCGGACGGGUGAGUAACACGUGGAUAACCUACCUAUAAGACUGGGAUAACUUCGGGAAACCGGAGCUAAUACCGGAUAAUAUAUUGAACCGCAUGGUUCAAUAGUGAAAGACGGUUUUGCUGUCACUUAUAGAUGGAUCCGCGCCGCAUUAGCUAGUUGGUAAGGUAACGGCUUACCAAGGCAACGAUGCGUAGCCGACCUGAGAGGGUGAUCGGCCACCCUGGAACUGAGACACGGUCCAGACUCCUACGGGAGGCAGCAGUAGGGAAUCUUCCGCAAAGGGCGAAAGCCUGACGGAGCAACGCCGCGUGAUUGAUGAAGGUCUUCGGAUCGUAAAACUCUGUUAUUAGGGAAGAACAAAUGUGUAAGUAACUAUGCACGUCUUGACGGUACCUAAUCAGAAAGCCACGGCUAACUACGUG